rnacentral:rRNA from 1 species
GACGAACGCUGGCGGCGUGCCUAAUACAUGCAAGUAGGACGCACAGUUUAUACCGUAGCUUGCUACACCAUAGACUGUGAGUUGCGAACGGGUGAGUAACGCGUAGGUAACCUACCUAUUAGAGGGGGAUAACUAUUGGAAACGAUAGCUAAUACCGCAUAACAGUAUGUAACACAUGUUAGAUGCUUGAAAGAUGCAAUUGCAUCGCUAGUAGAUGGACCUGCGUUGUAUUAGCUAGUAGGUAGGGUAAAGGCCUACCUAGGCAACGAUACAUAGCCGACCUGAGAGGGUGAUCGGCCACACUGGGACUGAGACACGGCCCAGACUCCUACGGGAGGCAGCAGUAGGGAAUCUUCGGCAAUGGGGGGAACCCUGACCGAGCAACGCCGCGUGAGUGAAGAAGGUUUUCGGAUCGUAAAGCUCUGUUGUUAAGGAAGAACGAGUGUGAGAAUGGAAAGUUCAUGCUGUGACGGUACUUAACCAGAAAGGGACGGCUAACUACGUGCCAGCAGCCGCGGUAAUACGUAGGUCCCGAGCGUUGUCCGGAUUUAUUGGGCGUAAAGCGAGCGCAGGCGGUUAGAAAAGUCUGAAGUGAAAGGCAGUGGCUCAACCAUUGUAGGCUUUGGAAACUGUUUAACUUGAGUGCAGAAGGGGAGAGUGGAAUUCCAUGUGUAGCGGUGAAAUGCGUAGAUAUAUGGAGGAACACCGGUGGCGAAAGCGGCUCUCUGGUCUGUAACUGACGCUGAGGCUCGAAGCGUGGGGAGCGAACAGG